rnacentral:siRNA from 1 species
GGUACCCGCCUUCCUCUCCAUGUU